rnacentral:rRNA from 1 species
CGUAGGUGGCAAGCGUUGUCCGGAAUUAUUGGGCGUAAAGCGCGCGCAGGCGGUCCUUUAAGUCUGAUGUGAAAGCCCACGGCUCAACCGUGGAGGGUCAUUGGAAACUGGGGGACUUGAGUACAGAAGAGAAGAGUGGAAUUCCACGUGUAGCGGUGAAAUGCGUAGAGAUGUGGAGGAACACCAGUGGCGAAGGCGACUCUUUGGUCUGUAACUGACGCUGAGGCGCGAAAGCGUGGGGAGCAAACAGGAUUAGAUACCCUGGUAGUCCACGCUGUAAACGAUGAGUGCUAAGUGUUAGAGGGCUUCCGCCCUUUAGUGCUGCAGCUAACGCAUUAAGCACUCCGCCUGGGGAGUACGGCCGCAAGGCUG